rnacentral:rRNA from 1 species
UGACCUUGGAUCAGGUAGGGAUACCCGCUGAACUUAAG